rnacentral:rRNA from 1 species
GAUGAACGCUGGCGGUGUGCCUAUACACGCAAGUCGUACGCAUUCUCGUUUCUGAUUGACGGUGCUUGCACCUAAUUGACGAGACAUUGGAAUGAGUGGCGGACGGGUGAGUAACACGUGGGUAACCUGCCCAGAAGCGGGGGAUAACAUUUGGAAACAGAUGCUAAUACCGCAUAAAAGUCAAAACCACAUGGUUUUGAUUUAAAAGAUGGCCUUUGUGCUAUCACUUCUGGAUGGACCCGCGGCGUAUUAGCUAGUUGGUAAGGUAACGGCUUAACAAGGCACUGAUACGUAGCCGAACUGAGAGGUUGAUCGGCCACGAUGGGACUGAGACACGGCCCAUACUCCUACGGGAGGCAGCAGUAGGGAAUCUUCCACAAUGGGCGCAAGCCUGAUGGAGCAACACCGCGUGAGUGAAGAAGGGUUUCGGCUCGUAAAACUCUGUUGUUAAAGAAGAACGUAUCUAAGAGUAACUGCUUAGGUAGUGACGGUAUUUAACCAGAAAGCCACGGCUAACUACGUGCCAGCCGCCGCUGUAA